AUGCACACUCCGAGCUUGCACACUCCCUGCCAUGUGUUUGGGAUUAACGGAGGAGAAAGAAAACAUCUCCCUGCUCCAAGGCAGCACCAGGAUCUGCCAGAGCUCGAUACCUCGCUGACCCCAGGGCAUUUCACCACCCUCCAUCAGCACUGCUCCAGCCUAAAAUUCAGAUGGUUUUUGGAAGGCUGGAUCUGCUGCAGCCUCAGAAAGCAUCCAGCAGUGAGACCACCCGUGAGCCUCGUGGCUGCAGCGCCGCUGGGAAGCAUGGACAUCAUUAGAGGGGGUGGAUGUAAUGACUCUCACUGGACAGACAUUCACCUUCUGAAGGCUUCUGCUUGUUUUGCAAUUAGUUUAACAGGAAGGGGGCUGUUCAAAGAAGGGCAUAAAGGUCCAGUUUCUAUGCUCAGCAACUCAUAGCAAGACCACCACGACAAAGGUGCGAUGCACAACAGCUCUUGUGAUGUAGAGCCAAUGGCUUCCCCAUUCCCUUCCCUUCCCCAUUUCCUUGGCUCUCCAUCAGCACAGGGAAAAGAAAAAGGAGGAAGGAAGGAAAAAAUGGAAGGGGGAGAAAAAAGCUUUAUUUGGAGAGGUGGGAGCAGUGGGAAGGCUUGGGGUCACUCUCCACUUGUUACGCCGUUCAAAGUCGCUCAUGCUGAGAGUUUCAUCCUUUGGCAUUUUCAUCCUUUUCCAGGAAAACCACAGCACAAUCCCGGUGUAACUGUAGGGCAGAGGAGAGGCAAUUGAUGAUGUUUUCUUUUUGAUGAAGUAAGCAAAUAGUUAUCUGGAUGAAAGGAAAUGAGUGGUGAGUUCCCACCCGAGUACCGCCUCACUUCUGAGCACUGGCGCUGCAUGCCUCCCUUCCUCCCUUUCAUUGCCUAUGAAGGAGGAGGGGAGAUCUGCCCCAUGCCUGGCUCCCAAGGCUGUUCUCCCCCUGGUCUGAAUGCAGGCUGGUGGAUUUGGCUAUCCUUUCUUAUUGGGCAGCUGCUGGUAAGCUUGGGAUGGAGAAUAAAUCACGUCACACAACGACA
rnacentral:lncRNA from 1 species